GAAAGAACCUGGCGGCGGCCUAACACAUGCAAGUCGAGCGGAGAAGGAAGCUUGCUCCUGUUUUGAGCGGCGGACGGGUGAGUAAUGCCUAGGAAUCUGCCUGGUAGUGGGGGAUAACGUUCGGAAACGGACGCUAAUACCGCAUACGUCCUGCGGGAGAAAGUGGGGGAUCUUCGGACCUCGCGCUAUCAGAUGAGCCUAGGUCGGAUUAGCUAGUUGGUGGGGUAAAGGCUCACCAAGGCGACGAUCCGUAACUGGUCUGAGAGGAUGAUCAUUCACACUGGAACUGAGACACGGUCCAGACUCCUACGGGAGGCAGCAGUGGGGAAUAUUGGACAAUGGGCGAAAGCCUGAUCCAGCCAUGCCGCGUGUGUGAAGAAGGUCUUCGGAUUGUAAAGCACUUUAAGUUGGGAGGAAGGGCAGUGACUUAAUACCUUGUUGUUUUGACGUUACCGACAGAAUAAGCACCGGCUAACUUUGUGCCAGCAGCCGCGGUAAUACAAAGGGUGCAAGCGUUAAUCGGAAUUACUGGGCGUAAAGCGCGCGUAUGUGGUUCGGCAAGUUGGAUGUGAAAUCCCCGGGCUCAACCUGGGAACUGCAUCCAAAACUGCUUGACUAGAGUACGGUAGAGGGUGGUGGAAUUUCCUGUGUAGCGGUGAAAUGCUUAGAUAUAGGAAGGAACACCUGUGGCGAAGGCGACCACCUGGACUGAUACUGACACUGAGGUGCUGAAGCGUGGCGAGCAAACAGGAUUAGAUACCCUGGUAGUCCACGCCGUAAACGAUGUCAACUAGCCAUUGGGAUCCCUUGCUCUCUUAGUUUGCCCACCUAACGCAAUAAGUCGACCGCAUGGGGAGUACGGCCCGAGGGUUAAAACUCAAAUGAAUUGACUGGAGCCCGCUCAAGAGGUGCAGCAUGGUGGUUUAGUCAAGCACCCCAAAAAACCUUAA
rnacentral:rRNA from 1 species